GGGGGCGUGGCGCAACUGGUAGCGCACCUGCUUUGCAAGCAGGGGGUUAGGGGUUCGAGUCCCCUCGCCUCCA
rnacentral:tRNA from 4 species